CCUACGGGUGGCAGCAGUGGGGAAUAUUGCACAAUGGGGGAAACCCUGAUGCAGCGACGCUGCGUGAAGGAAGAAGUAUUUCGGUAUGUAAACUUCUAUCAGCAGGGAAGAAAAUGACGGUACCUGACUAAGAAGCCCCGGCUAACUACGUGCCAGCAGCCGCGGUUAAACGGUGGGGGCAAGCGUUAUCCGGAUUUAAUGGGUGUAAAGGGGGCGCAGGCGGUUUAGCAAGUCAGAAGUGAAAGCCCGGGGCUCAACUCCGGGACUGCGUUUGAAACUGUUGAGCUGGAGUGCAGGAGAGGUAAGCGGAAUUCCUAGUGUAGCGGUGAAAUGCGUAGAUAUUAGGAGGAACACCAGUGGCGAAGGCGGCUUACUGGACUGUAAAUGACGCUGAGGCUCGAAAGCGUGGGGAGCAAACAGGAUUAGAUACCCUUGUAGUC
rnacentral:rRNA from 1 species